CAUAAUUCUUCAUUCAUCACGCCAAGCCACGUCUGUAAGUUCUGCAGUUCAACUUUAAACUCUUAUUACUUACUGGACCGCACCGUGUGGGAGCGUUUUGGUGUGAAUAAUUUUCCACAAACUCACCAGAACGACUUAUUGAGUCGGUUUAACCGAUUGGAGAGCCAGCUUCCGCAGCCACGGGGCACGCAUGGCGGAGAAAAGAGGACGGACGUCCGCGGCGACGGAGGAGGGUCUUAAACGCCGCCGCCAGCCAGCCAGCAAGUCGGCCCGUCAAUGGUUUGGGGAAGAAGCAAGCACAAAAGAACGUGACGGCAAAGUUUUGCAGAGGAAUCCAAUUUUGUGUUCAAAAUGUCUGGCCGACCGCGACUGGAGCGUGAACUUGUGUCAGCGGCUGGCAGCUGAUGUUCGCCGCUACUAGAAUGCAGACAGACAAAAUGGCCGUCAAGAACGCCGGGCUGGGGGGCACGAUGAGACUACGGGGAAGACCACCUGGCGAGAUUAAAGACCAGGCUGCCCUGCUUAGGCUGCUGCCCCCGCGACCCGACUUUGGGACUUUGGGAAUAUUUGCAGACGCGGAGUCAUGACCCCCGGGACCCGUGGCAGGGAUUUCUAUUCAGGCCGGAGUCAUAAAGCGACAAAUAAAUCAUUUCUUCCUGGUCACUUUAAAGAACAAUCAUGGUGACAUAUCGCCCGCUGCCAACAACCCCGACGAGCUGACAGAUGACACCGCCGUCUUUCCGGACUGACAGGUCUGUUGACGUUGUGACGAUUGCGUGGCAUCGUGAUGCGGAGUCGUUCUCUCAGGGAUGCAGUCGGGCUCGGACACAACGUGAAG